AGAGUUUGAUCCUGGCUCAGGAUGAACGCCGGCGGUGUGCCUAAUACAUGCAAGUCGUACGCACUGGCCCAACUGAUUGAUGGUGCUUGCACCUGAUUGACGAUGGAUCACCAGUGAGUGGCGGACGGGUGAGUAACACGUAGGUAACCUGCCCCGGAGCGGGGGAUAACAUUUGGAAACAGAUGCUAAUACCGCAUAACAACAAAAGCCACAUGGCUUUUGCUUGAAAGAUGGCUUUGGCUAUCACUCUGGGAUGGACCUGCGGUGCAUUAGCUAGUUGGUAAGGUAACGGCUUACCAAGGCGAUGAUGCAUAGCCGAGUUGAGAGACUGAUCGGCCACAAUGGAACUGAGACACGGUCCAUACUCCUACGGGAGGCAGCAGUAGGGAAUCUUCCACAAUGGGCGCAAGCCUGAUGGAGCAACACCGCGUGAGUGAAGAAGGGUUUCGGCUCGUAAAGCUCUGUUGUUGGAGAAGAACGUGCGUGAGAUUAACUGUUCACGCAGUGACGGUAUCCAACCAGAAAGUCACGGCUAACUACGUGCCAGCAGCCGCGGUAAUACGUAGGUGGCAAGCGUUAUCCGGAUUUAUUGGGCGUAAAGCGAGCGCAGGCGGUUGUUUAGGUCUGAUGUGAAAGCCUUCGGCUUAACCGAAGAAGUGCAUCGGAAACCGGGCGACUUGAGUGCAGAAGAGGACAGUGGAACUCCAUGUGUAGCGGUGGAAUGCGUAGAUAUAUGGAAGAACACCAGUGGCGAAGGCGGCUGUCUGGUCUGUAACUGACGCUGAGGCUCGAAAGCAUGGGUAGCGAACAGGAUUAGAUACCCUGGUAGUCCAUGCCGUAAACGAUGAGUGCUAGGUGUUGGAGGGUUUCCGCCCUUCAGUGCCGGAGCUAACGCAUUAAGCACUCCGCCUGGGGAGUACGACCGCAAGGUUGAAACUCAAAGGAAUUGACGGGGGCCCGCACAAGCGGUGGAGCAUGUGGUUUAAUUCGAAGCUACGCGAAGAACCUUACCAGGUCUUGACAUCUUGCGCUAACCUUAGAGAUAAGGCGUUCCCUUCGGGGACGCAAUGACAGGUGGUGCAUGGUCGUCGUCAGCUCGUGUCGUGAGAUGUUGGGUUAAGUCCCGCAACGAGCGCAACCCUUGUUACUAGUUGCCAGCAUUAAGUUGGGCACUCUAGUGAGACUGCCGGUGACAAACCGGAGGAAGGUGGGGACGACGUCAGAUCAUCAUGCCCCUUAUGACCUGGGCUACACACGUGCUACAAUGGACGGUACAACGAGUCGCAAGCUCGCGAGAGUAAGCUAAUCUCUUAAAGCCGUUCUCAGUUCGGACUGUAGGCUGCAACUCGCCUACACGAAGUCGGAAUCGCUAGUAAUCGCGGAUCAGCAUGCCGCGGUGAAUACGUUCCCGGGCCUUGUACACACCGCCCGUC
rnacentral:rRNA from 2 species